UCCGAUUUGACACCGGCAGUCUCGUUAGAGUCCCCAGCUUGACCUGUUGGCAACUAACGAAAGGGGUUGCGCUCGUUACGGGACUUAACCCAACACCUCACGACACGAGCUGACGACAGCCAUGCAGCACCUGUGUUCAGGUUCCCUUUCGGGCACCGCUGCAUCUCUGCAGCGUUCCAGGCAUGUCAAGGGUAGGUAAGGUUUUUCGCGUUGCAUCGAAUUAAACCACAUCAUCCACCGCUUGUGCGGGUCCCCGUCAAUUCCUUUGAGUUUUAAUCUUGCGACCGUACUCCCCAGGCGGAUGACUUCUCGCGUUAGCUGCGUUACUAAAGGAUUUAACUCCUCCAACAACUAGUCAUCAUCGUUUAGGGCGUGGACUAC
rnacentral:misc_RNA from 1 species